rnacentral:rRNA from 1 species
AGUGAACGCUGGCGGCAGGCCUAACACAUGCAAGUCGAGCGAACACACAGUAAGAUUUCUCCUUUAAGGGUGGCGAGGGGCGGACGGGUGACGCAUGCAUAGGCAUCUUAUUUUUCGUGGGGGACUUCGUGGGACCACUUCUAAUACCGCCUAAUAUAUUCUACGGCAUGAUGCAGUAGUUAUUGGCGGUUUUCGUGUUACUUUGAGAUGAAUCCGCGCCGCAUUAGCUAGUUGGUAAGGUAACGGCUUACCAAGGCGACGAUGCGUAGCCGACCUGAGAGGGUGAUCGGCCACACUGGAACUGAGACACGGUCCAGACUCCUACGGGAGGCAGCAGUAGGGAAUAUUCCGCAAUGGGCGCAAGCCUGACGGAGCCACGCCGCGUGAGUGAUGAAGGUCUUCGGAUUGUAAAGCUCUGUUAUUAGGGAAGAAAAACAGUGUAAGUAACUCCGCCCGUCCUGACGGUACCUAAUCAGAAAGCACCGGCUAACUACGUG